rnacentral:rRNA from 1 species
GAUGAACGCUGGCGGCGUGCCUAAUACAUGCAAGUCGAGCGAACAGACGAGGAGCUUGCUCCUCUGACGUUAGCGGCGGACGGGUGAGUAACACGUGGAUAACCUACCUAUAAGACUGGGAUAACUUCGGGAAACCGGAGCUAAUACCGGAUAAUAUAUUGAACCGCAUGGUUCAAUAGUGAAAGACGGUUUUGCUGUCACUUAUAGAUGGAUCCGCGCCGCAUUAGCUAGUUGGUAAGGUAACGGCUUACCAAGGCGACGAUGCGUAGCCGACCUGAGAGGGUGAUCGGCCACACUGGAACUGAGACACGGUCCAGACUCCUACGGGAGGCAGCAGUAGGGAAUCUUCCGCAAUGGGCGAAAGCCUAACGGAGCAACGCCGCGUGAGUGAUGAAGGUCUUCGGAUCGUAAAACUCUGUUAUUAGGGAAGAACAAAUGUGUAAGUAACUAUGCACGUCUUGACGGUACCUAAUCAGAAAGCCACGGCUAACUACGUG